AUCGCUUCUCUGCCUUUUGGCUAAGAUCAAGUGUAGUAUCAGUUCUUAUCAGUUUAAUAAAUAUUUAAAAAAACAUAAAUUGGCUUAGGUAUUGAAUGUAGUAUAAACCUCCUAACUACUAAAUGGUAU
rnacentral:snRNA from 1 species